rnacentral:lncRNA from 1 species
UACAUGUGUCCCAUUUGGUAGAAACAAUGGGAGUAUCAUUUCAGCCGGUGGGUUUCUCUGUGUUGGUUACCAGAGGGGCAUGCCCUCUGCUUAUUGUUCAUGGGAACAUGCUCAAGGAAUUCUGCAGGAAGGCCCCCAUCCAGGAUGUUACUGGAAGACCUGCCUGGCGGAGUUUGUACAAACAAAGUAUGACCCUGCCGGCCCAGCCAAAACCCCUGCCUCCGUGCUGGGAGGCUCUGUGACCCUGGCGGAAAAGGCUGCUGUCUUCAUCACCCAGCCAAGAGGCUGCCGCACUGCAGGGUGGGGCCCUGGCUUCCCUCUCCUUAGAUAUGGUAUGCACAUUGUUGUCUAUACAAAAUGCAGGUCUAGUUGGGUUUCCUUUGCCUCCUGAGCCUCUUUUAUGGUGUUUCAUGUUGUUUGUAGGAACAAUCUGCCAGGGCUCCUCUCUUUAAAAAAACCAAAAAUGGAAAAAAAAAAAAAA